CUGGAUUAAAUGGUCCCAAUUUAUUAAUGCCCAGUCUGAGGAGAGUCAGGAGGGACAGAGGUACUUUUCUGAAGUAGAGAGCUGUCUUUGACUUGGCAAGUCCCCACAGGGUGUAACAAGGCAAGCAUUAAAUGCAAUAGUUUGAGAUGAAAUUGACUUGGUUAUGUUAAUAACUAGAUGGUCAGCAAUAGAGAGAGGAAAGAAGAAAGAGUAAUAGAAUAGAUGAAGAAGUUAAAUUUUUCUUAGCUUUAGUUUGGUAGGGUUUUCCCCUGGGACUCUGGCCCAUGACUCUGGAGGGGUGGCACUUUCUUGACUCAGGUGUGAUGAGUCCAUCCCCUUUCCGCUGUAUGAACAGUAGUCUUGGUGGUUAACAGCACAAGAUAGGGUCAUUCCCAGGCUGACUCGAGUUUUCCUUCUUUCCACCCUUUGGUAAGAACAUGAUCUUCAGGCUGGUGCUGUUUUACUGGAAAUUCUAGGGGUGGUACAUGUGCUAAACCAAGUAUAUAAUUUUUAAGAAAUUGACCUUUUGUUUUAAAUGUGGGGACAUCAGCAGUGGACUUUAUAGUCCUUGGUGCCUUUUUACUGAGAAAUUUCCUUUAGCACCUAUUUUUAUUUGUUUUCACCUAUUUUUAUUUGUUUUUAGACCAAAGAAAGCUAAACACCAUUUUAUAUUUGACAACGCUUCCUGUAUGUUUAUACCAGAUAAGCUAAAUGUCACCUUUAUUUGAGUGUGUUAUUAAUGUUAAACUUUGUUUUCUUUGUAGACAUAUUUAUUCAAUUUUUAAUGUCAGACCAUAAGCAACGCGAAUGAAAUUUGGUGCCAUCACUCGGAUCAGGGGACCUCCCUUGGGAGAUCAAUCCCCUGUCCUCCUGCUCUUUGCUCCAUGAGAAAGAUCCACCUACGAUCUCUGCUCCUCAGACCAACCAGCCCAAGGAACAUCUCACCAAUUUUAAAUCGGAUCUUCUCAGCUUAGCGGCUGAAGACUGAUGCUGCCAGAUGACUUUGGAAGCCCCCUGGACCAUCACAGAUGCCCAGCUUUGGAUAACUCUUACAGUGGAGGAAGACAGGAAUAUCAGGUCUCUGAGCCCAAGCUAAGCCAUCAUAUCCCCUGUGACCUGCAUGUAUGCAUCCAGAUGGCCUGAAGUAACUGAAGAAUCACAAAAGAAGUGAAAAUGGCGCGUGCCUGCCUUAACUGAUGACAUUACCUUGUGAAAUUCCUUCUCCUGGCUCAUCCUGGCUCAAAAGCUCCCCCACUGAGCACCUUGUGACCCCCACUCCUGCCUAACAGAGAACAAUCCCCUUUGACUGUAAUUUCCCACUACCUACCCAAAUCCUAUAAAACGGCCCCACCCCUAUCUCCAUUCACUGACUCUUUUUGGACUCAGCCCACCUGCACCCAGGUGAAAUAAACAGCCUUGUUGCUCACACA
rnacentral:lncRNA from 1 species